rnacentral:lncRNA from 1 species
CCAGUCCCCUGGACCCAGUGCGGCUGCGGUGGCAGUCACGCUGGAGCCUGCUGAUGUGACAAAAGGAAAACAAAGGCGCUGAGAUGGACGCUGACGGCCACCGGUAAGUGGCUGAGGAUCCGGUUAGAUAAGGAACGGGAAGGGAAAGGGAAGAAGCUUGUAGAAAUCGGCGAGCCCACGGUGUGAUUGGUUCUUGGGUCCUCCGAGAGCUGGGCUGGAACCAGGUCGGUCAGUCACUGCAGUUGUUUUCGGACAGCACUGACCACUCUCCUAAGACACUGCCUUCCGUGGAAGGCAGAGAAUCUUCUUUCGUGGGUCGUGCACCUGUGAGUAAUGGGCUCUUUUUGAAACGUGCCUUUGGGGCUGGCAGCCUGCGGGUUUGGUGGGGGGGGGGGGGAGAGACGCCAGCCGGCUGCGUUACUAGAGAGAUCCACGGUGGUCCCCGUGCUCAGACCACCCGGCUUUGUCAUUUUAAUUUCCAUCCUGGGCUUGCAGUGUUUGGUCACAAUGGGUCCUUUGCUGUAAAACGGGGUGUGGGGGUCAAGAGCCCUGUUGAAUACCAAGUGGGAUUCUCAGAGCGGCUUCUGGUGGAAUUUACACUGGCUGUCCUCAUUUUAAACAGCACGCCCUUGCGUGAUUCCACAUAUUAUCCUUACCUUACAUAACGGGAUUUGAAAAUCCUGCUUUUACCGAGCAGCAUUUUACCAAGUCAUUCCAUUUUCUUCCAGCGAGUGAUCGUCGCAUUCUUAGAAAGAGUAUCCCAGUUUUAACAAGGAGGAGACCUCUCCGUCUUGUUCUUUCUCUUGAAACAAGGUUAAUAACCUCAGGACAGACCGCCGGAUUGGUUUCUAACAUGCCACUGGUCCGGGCUUUCGUUUCAUCCUGCUCUGUGUAAGUGGAAGGCAAAAGCAGGUUCGUUCCACGCGUUUCCCCGGCACGAACCGCCCUCGAGUUCCAUGCAAGGGCAGCUCUUUAUUUCUCCUCCAAAGCAGAGAAGAGUAAUCGACACUUAAUCCCAUUGUAUUUGUCACGUGGGAAGUAAAUCUCCUAUAUUGGUUUUUUUUUUAAGCUGCCCAUUGAUAACCAGGUAUGCACCAGGUCAGUAUGUGACCAUGGUGCCCCGGUGGUUUUGCUUAUGACUGACCAGCCUCCUUUCCCUAACCCUGCCACAAAGUCUUACUCAUCCUUUCUGGCUGUUUGGCUGGCCGAUUUCCCCCCUUCUUGUCUCUGGCGUUCGAGGCUCCUUCAGUCUCCCUUUCAAACACGCCAAGCCACAUGUACCACGUUCCCGUCUUUCCCUCGUGCCUUGCUUGGUUUCUGAGAUUGUUUCCAUGAUGAAGAUGGUGUUUUCUAUGCUUCCCAUGAUGAGAGGAAAAGCCCAGUCACGCUCUUUGAAAGACCAAAAGGUUCCCUUCCAUCGGAAGCAUCUGGUGUAUUGUUGUUUAUGCUGGAUUGGUUCUCAGGAGCUUCAGGUAUUUAUCUCAGCCACGCUUCGUUGUAGCUCUGAUCGCCGAAAACUCACUUAACUUCUGUGGGUCUCAGUACCUUCCUAUAUUAGAGAUGUGGGCCGUUGUUUUUCACACAACUGUCCCCGGGUUCGAAUGAGGUCAUGCACAUGAGGGCAUCAGCACCGAACGUGCACCGUAUUGUUGUUUAGCGGGAGUUCUGACUUUUCCCAUUCGGUCUACCCACCUUCCUAUUCCCCGAUCCGUGGGGAAGCAGGCUACCGUGGUUUCUCAUAGCACUUCCUUAAAGGAAGGGACUCUGAAAUGAUCUUUUGAUCAAGUGCAUCUUGAUCAGCUCUAAGUAGAUAUAAGAAACAUACCCGGUACUUGCUUAGGAUCUCUUGCCUGUAAGCCUAAUGGUGACGUUUCCACGCUGCCACAAGAGUGUUCAUUGGAGGAGGGAAGGCCAAGUGUCUUUGCACAGCUCCUGUUAAAGCCUUGACGAUGGCAGAGGUGAUGAUGAUAUUGACUGUCCAAGUGAGGACCGCUAGAUGGGACUGAUGCGAGCAGUGCCGAAUUGGAAACCAGAACAGAUCCCGUUGCUCUUCUGACCUUGGACAACCCGAGCAGCAGUUUGCUUUUUGUAUUGCCAGCCUGUCGCUAGUUUAGUUUCUGUUCGUAUGUGCUUUUCUCCUUCCUCCUUGCCACCUUUUCUUUCCUUAAACUCUACGCGUCGCGCAUCGCGUCUGACGUUAGAGCCUAGGACGGAGCCACUGUGGUGGUGAACUGGGAAGUACUGGCGGGAAUCGAGGGGUGUGGUGCUAGCUCCGAGGCCUUGGUUUCUCUUUGCGCUAACCGGAAAGUCAUUUGACUUCACCUCUGCGAUCAGAGGCACGACGUAGAUACCCUUUAAGUUUCCUUCAAGUCCUGGGUGCACAAUUAAUACACCCUGUCUUUGGGGUACUCUUGGUGUAUAACAGUUACUUGAUCAAGUCACGUGCUUUCACCUCCAUUGUCCGUUGUCCUCGACACAAUAGCCUCGAGGAAGAGCCGGCCUGUUUUGCCGAUGAUAAAACGUAAGACCAAGGGAGAAGAGAGCCCCAACGAUUUCUCAUCUGUGAAAAGGGGAGGUCGACCAGGUGGUAUCCAAGUUGACUUUUCUCGCUAGACGUCAGUGAGUCCUUAGCCUGCAAACGCUGAGCUCUGGCCCCUGUACCCCCGUGUCCCCUCUCACAGCACUUAGAGCUUACAGUGGCCUGAAAUCCAAUGCACACCGGUUCUCGCUUUUGUAAGGGGGCAUCGAUGGUCUGGUUACAGUGACAUCGUGUCCAAAGAUUUGAUUUAAAUAUUCUGCUCCGGGUUAGAAAAUUAGAAAAUGAGGGCAAUCUAAUCCCCAUUUUCCUUUUCAUGUGUCCUGAAACUACAACACAUUAAAAUAAGUCAAAGACCCAAAUAAUGUUGUGGGUGAUCACUUACACUUCAUAGAUCUCCUUGUUUCAUCUAAGUACCAAGUGCUAGAGAGCCGCAUGUAUUUGCAUUUUUCAGGUAUCUAGAAUUUGUGCACGACUUUACUUCUAGCAGUGAAGGCUUAGCUCUUUCUCCUUGUUUUUAAUGCAGUGAUCAAUUUAAUCAUUAAGAAAUGAUUAGGGUCAUUAUUAAUUCUUAGGACCAUUAAUAAAUGACUAAUAGGGUCACCGGAUCCGUUACAGGAAAUAUGGCCUAAGGUAAACAUACACUAAAAAAUUGCUUGUUGUUUAUUUGAAAUUCAAACUUAACUAGGCACAUUUCUAUUUGCUAAAUCUAGGAACCCUAGAUAAACAGAACCUUAACUGAUAAAUUAGAGAGUCAUUUACUUUGAGCAUAAAGAUAUUAAUGAAAGCUUAAAACAUACAUUAAAUCCAACCUUUAUCAGUUUCUCAUAAUAUGCAAGCGUCUCACUAGUUUUGUUUAUUAAUGCUUUUGUUUAUUAAAUGUGUAAUAAGUGACCAUUCUAAGAAAAUCCUGAUCCUGAAAACCGUAUUAUGUCCAACUCACCUCAUAUUCCCCAGAGGCCUUGCUACUGAAUGGAAAAAAAAAUACCCAAGAUUUUAAAUAUAUUUAUUUGGAGUCAAACUUGGCUUUGCAAACUGACUCUGCAUCAUACUAGACCUGAUACUUCACCUCUUGGAAUCUCAGUUUCCUCCUUCUUUUUUUUUGUUUUUUAAAUGUUUAUUUAUUUUUUGAGAGAGAGAGAGAGAGAGAGAGAGAGAGAGACAGAGUGUGAGCAGGGGAGGGGCAGAGAGAGAGGGAGACACAGAGUCCGAAGCAGGCUCCAGGCUCUGAGCUGUCAGCACAGAGCCCCACGCGGGGCUCGAACCCACAGACCGUGAGAUCAUGACCUGAGCUACUCGGGCGUGCCUCAGUUUCCUCCUCCUUAAGUGGCACUGAUAAUAGGCUAACAAUCACCACCUCAGAGGUCAGAUGACAGGUGAGUAAAGCCUCUGGUGUGGAUUUCCAUGGCAAGCUCCCUUUGUUUUUUUAAGGGAAUGAAUGAAUAUUCUUUUUCCCUGCAAAAAACCCAGAUGAUAAUAUUAGUCAGAUAAUAUGAAAUGAGAUGUAUUUUAAUCAUACAGUCUAUUUUUCAUGCAUUAUUUUUUAAAAGCUUUAUGGAGAUCUAAUUCCCAUGCCAUAUAAUUCGUCUAUAUGGUCUCUUAUUUUGGGGUGAAACGUUAUCUUUGAUAACAUUGAUCCAAAGAUAAACCCAAGACUCUGAGGAGGUCCCGUUCCAGUACCAGCCCUCCCCAGACUCCUGCCUCAGACAAUCUGCUCCAUUAGUUGACAAGACUGAAAACAGAGGCUCCUCAAUUCGAUCCAAGAUACGCUAUAAAAGUACGUGUAUUUUUAUUAGCUGGAAAUUGGCCAAAGUGACUAAAUUAUUCAAUCUCUGUUGAAUGCCUUACGUAUCCAUGGCCCCAGAUCUCACUGAGUGAGAGAGUCAACGACGAAGAAAACACUCUUGAGGCGUGUUCAGCAAAGUAGGGGAGGAAGAUUUGUGUAACACAGAGGAGAUUCGGAAUCUGAGGGAGUAGCUCAUAGUUUUUUCUUAUUCCAUUUGAAAUACAGUAUCUUUUCGGUUAUGCAUUGUACACGGACAUCUUCAAUUACGCACACAUGCACACAACCAACCAGUUACUUAUCGCCCACCUUUCACUUUGCUUUUGGUGCUCCACAAAGUGCAUUUACGGACACCUUCAAUCACAGGGAUGUGCGUUUGAGGUCAGAUGAUGACUAGUGACCGUGGCCUUUUCUGCAACAGAUCGUGCCGAUACAAUCCUGUCAUUAGCGACACUCAAAAGAGUUGCUACGUCUUAAAAUCUUAAGUUUGCUCCAUUCACGAACAGGGCGAAUGAAUCUGAUUUCUCCAUUUUGCAAAGAUGCCAUUUUAAAGUCUCUGUUGACUCCUGUUUUGUUCUGACAUUAAGGAGGGCCAGGCAAUUAUUCCGAGGGCAGUGCCAGUCGAGGCUUUCUGCGGGCCCGAAGUCUGUCUGCGGCUGGCUCCCCGUUCUCGUGACGUGAGGGACUCUCAAGGGUGAAUUUUCACCGCAUGCCGGAGGAUUUCGCUACCAGUGGCUUUGGUCAGACGCGAUACACAGUAAUGUGGGUUGUUAGUUCCCAGUUUUAGAUGAACGUGGAUGCCGUUCUCAGGAGGUCACCACGGGCAGCUCUGACCCUGUUGUUUGCUGUAGGUGGGUUGAAGGACCGUUUCCGGGGAAGCCAACGUUAUUCUGAUAAGUAAAGCUGCAGAGCGCGAUGCCUGUGAAUAUGGCAGCACGGCCAACGGUGGAAAGGGAGAGAGGUCACCCGAGAUGUCCUCGCUUCCUCGGGGCCACAGGCCACUUCCUCUCCCUCCAUGAAGAGGGGCUUUUACUAGUUCCGAGCCCAUGUGGUUCUGUAUUUAACGGACACGCUAAGCCAAAGAGAAGGGACAUCAUCCUGGGGAUGAAGUCCAAGGGGUAGGUCCUGUUGAUAUUUCUAUCUCGUUCCCUGCAGGAAAGACCUUUCUUUUCAUUCCCACGGGUGGCAGCUGGGUGUCUGUGUUCUAGCUCCUGGGAAGUCUGUUCCGUCCUCUUGCUUUCUGGCGAAGUCUACCUUAGAAAUCCCCUCGUCUUCCCUCGCUCCUCCCCGCCUACCCACCAAAGGACGGCUUUGGGCCGAGGGGACGUCACCACUUGUCUCCACCGGGGCCAUGAUUGCGCCCCCGAGUCUCUGGGCCGUUUCUGCUUCGCGCAGAGCAACUCGAAGGGAGCUUCACCUCCGUGAGUUAGCGGGGCCGGCACGUGUCUUUCCUCCUCCUUGAAGGAGACCGUAGAUGGUGCCAAAUUCACCCGCUGCGGGGAAAACCCUGAUUGCCAGAACAGGGUAUUUUUUUUUUUUUAAUUUUUUUUUUUUCAACGUUUAUUUAUUUUUGGGACAGAGAGAGACAGAGCAUGAACGGGGGAGGGGCAGAGAGAGAGGGAAACACAGAAUCGGAAGCAGGCUCCAGGCUCUGAGCCAUCAGCCCAGAGCCCGACGCGGGGCUCGAACUCGCGGAUCGCGAGAUCGUGACCUGGCUGAAGUCGGACGCUUAACCGACUGCGCCACCCAGGCGCCCCCAGAACAGGGUAUUUUUGCCGGGAAGGCGGAGAGGUCACUGAAUGGCAUGCCGUGCCUCUCUCAGCCGUGGGCAGCGGCCUCGGCUUUCAGAGCCAGACGAACGGAUUCCACAGCUGGCGGGAUGGAUGUCCAAAUCCCCGUUCCCAAGUAGCAAGUUCAGAGAGCCAACUGUUCGGGCCCAACGCCCGGGACGAGGGCCUGAGUCAGGCGGCAGAGGGUAUCAUGCGUGCGUUUCCUGGCCCCGCACGUGUCAGAGAAUAUUACACGAACAUGAAGAGGGACAUCCAAGAUUGGCAAACGUCAUCUGCAGUCUGUUGAGUACUUUUAGACAUAGUUCCGGGUGGUCUCUCUGAUGACCCUGCACAGGGAGGGGGCAGGCCAGAUGAGGCGCAGAGAGAUGACGAGAUUCUCCAGCCUCGGCCUUCCUCCUGCGCUCCUAACCCCCCCACCCCGGACUUGAUGUGAUGGAAGCGGCUUUCUUUCCUUUGGGGGAAGAAGCAAUGGGAGAGAAGGAAAUCAUAUUUGAGAACAGAUGUUGUGUUCGGUGAAUAAGGUAAGAGCUAGAAGUCGAAGAUCCCGUGUUUGAGUCCCAGGGUCGGAUGUCGCUUGACUUUCUGUGCACCAAUUUCCUUACGUGUGAAACAGAAUUAACAAUUUUCUACCGAAUUACCAGGCUGUUAUGAAACUGCAAAAAGAUAAUAUCUAUGGAGUCACUUCAAUGAAUUAAAGAUACUUUAUCUUGGGGCGUCUGGGUGGCUCAGUCAGUUAAGCCCCUGACUUCAGCUCAGGUCAUGAUCUCGCGGUCUGUGGGUUCGAGCCCCGCAUCGGGCUCCGUGCAGACGGCUCGGAGCCUGAAGCCUGCUUCGGAUUCUGUGUCUCCCUCUCUCUCUGCCCCUCCCCUGCUCACACUCUGUCUCUGUCUCUCUCUGAAAAGUAAAUAAACAUAAAAAAAAUUUAAAAAAAGAUACUUUAUCUUUGCAAGACACUCCUACUACACUGCAUUAUAAUUUUACUAUCAAUAACAUUUCAACGGCACACAAAAUGUAGGAUAUACUGAUUUUCUUGGCUAUGCUAAUGAGCUACGUUAACACAACAUUAUGAAAGCAGUAAAAAACACCAGAGUUAACACUUCAUAGUUAAUUUGGUCGUCCUGAAAAGCUGUCUUAAAUUGCAUUGGACUGCUGUUCAUUCACGGCUGAUGCCAUAAAAAAGGCUUCUGUCUUCUGUGUGAUGUCAUUGUUAAGGAUUUGUAGAAGUAAAUGGAGCACUCAAAAAUGGAUGCAUUAUCAGGUGAAGAUUUAUAGGCAAGAGAAGCGUUAAACAUGGAAGUAUAAAAAUCCCACGUAAUGUUACCAUCAGUAAGGCACAAAAAGCAUCUGAGUUUAAAAUAAUGAACAUGAAAUAGAACUAAAUACAUAAUCACAAGCAGAGAUGUGUUCCUAUAUAGGCUUAUUUAAAACGUGAAAUUAUCGGGGCGCCUGGGUGGCUCAGUUGGUUGAGCAUCUGGACUACAGCUUAGGUCAUGAUCUCGAGGUUCGUGAGUUCGAGCCCCACAUCGGGCUCCGUGCUGACAGCUCAGAGCCCGGAGCCUGCUUCGGAUUCUGUGUCUCCCUCUCUCUCUGCCCCUCCCCUGCUCAUGCUCUGUCUCUCUCUCUCAAAAAUAAAUACACAUUAAAAAAAUUUUUUUUACAAUGUGAAAUUAUCACACACCAAGAAAUAGAUGUUUGUUGACUUGAGUAAAGGUGUGUGUGUGUGUGUGUGUGUGUGUGUGCGCGCCAUCAUGAGUUGGGAAUAAAAAAGACAUUUUAAUGUUUCCUUUGCCUAUAUAUUUUGAUCUUGGAUUAGUACAAAAUAAUCAUGAGAAUAAAGAGAAGAAUACACAAUAAGUGCUUUGUGAAUGUUGGUGAGCUGCAGACAUUUCGAUAUCAUUAUAUGGGAAGCAGUUGGGUUUAUCGGAGAAGCUCUUGAACGAAGGGGCUAGAGCUGGUGUUAGGGCUCUGUCACCUCCUCGGUGUGACCUUUGUAGUGCCCUCGUGGCCCACGGGACCCUGUGAUGGCAGGCGCAGUGUCUCCCCUUCUAACCCUGCCCCUGCAGAGCUACAUUUCGCGAAGAUUAACGCCUUCGCAAACAAACGUUUUCAUAUUUAUAAACUCACAUGGACAACAUCUGCCAUAGACUGGCCCUGGGGACGUGUGUCACCUCGUUCCCUUCUAUAUCCCCUUGUGGCGUGGGCACAUGCCUUAACGUGUUUUGAGCUUUGGUCCCUUAACCUGUAAAAUGCGGAAACCAGCUGGUCUCCCUCUUUCCUCAAGUAGGCUUGAGGAUUGCGUGAAACCACGGAUGCGAUUGUAUGGGACUACACGGGUAAGGUGCUGUCGUUUAAACGCCACAUGCAGAAUUUCAUAUUAAUUCAGAAGGGCUCAUGGGCACCACGUGGAUCUUCACAACUCUGAGGAAAACUUUGGAAUGCUUGGGGAGCAGGUUCUCACAGAGCGUUUCACAACGUGGAGGCCACAUGCCCUGGUCACGGAGGGAAUGGUCGGUGUUGGGGAAAUGAGGAGAUGUGAUGUGACUCAAAUAGGCAUCAAAAAAAAUGAGAUUAUUCAGUGAGGAUAUGACCCCUUUUGCAAGUUCCUUCUCUCCUUGCCUCCCCUCCCUCUUCUUUUCUUCCUCUCCUUCCUUCUUCCUGUAAAAACCUUAUUACGUAGACUCUAUUUUUCCAUCAGAACCUCAUUCUUAAUUAACAGCUGUUCUAGAAAUAAAUGGAAGAUAUUAAAGACUGUCUUAAGCAAAGAUGUCAUUAUAUGCCCUCCGUCAUGUUAUAAACCUAUUUUUAAUAUUAUCCCCUGCACAAGACACAAUUUAUAGUACAAGUUUAAUUUUUAUUUAUUUAUUUAUUUAUUUAUUUAUUUAUUUAUUUAUUUAUUUAUUUAUUUUAAAUUAAUGUUUACUUUUGAGAAAGAGAGAGCGAGCAGGGGAGGGGCAGAGAUAGAGAGAAGGAGACACAGAAUCCGAAGCAGGCUCCAGGGUCCAAGCUGUCAGCACAGAGCCUGAUGCGGGGCUCGAACCCACGAACCACGAGAUCGUGACAUGAGCAGAAGUCGUACGCCCAACCGACUGAGCCACCCCAGGUGCCCCAUAAUUUUUAUUAUUUUUUAAAUGAAAAUACUAUGCAUAUGAAAGAGUAUAUAUAAAUUAGAGAAUUUUGCAUACUUUUUGGGGGGCUGUUUCUUUUUUAUUUUCAAGAGUUCUUUAUUCUGGACACAAAACUGACAAUUAUCUGUGUGGCAAAUGUGUUCUCCUGAUUUUUGUAGCUUACCUUAGGUGAACAGAAGUUCUUAGUUUUAAUAUGGCUUGACCGUAACAAUCUUUUGUCUUACGAUCCGUGGCUUCUAUUUGUUCUUUGGAGAAUUCUUUACUCUGAAGUCAUUAAGAUAUUGUGUUCUAUUUCUUUCUAAAAAGCUUAAGGUUUGAUCUUCUCGCUCAUGAGAGUUUGUGUUGGUAUUUGUGCACAGUGGGAGGUACAGAUACAUUUUGUUUCCACGUAGACAACCGCUUGUCCCAGUAACGUUUUCCAAAUGGUCCGCUUUCUCCACCGAGUUCUACAAACACCUCUGUCAUGUAUCAAGUUUCCAUGAAUGCAGGGUCCUGUUGCUAAGCUUUUUAUUCUGAUUGUUCCUGUGUGAAUGCCAUACCAACUUAGUUAUAAUAGUUUUACAUUAAGAUGCAACAUCUAGAAAAGCUUUCUGAAGGAGUCUUUUUAAAAAAAUUCUUGUCCCUUUGUUCUUCCCUAAAACUCUGAGAAUCAGCUUGUCAAGUUUUAUUUUAAAAACUUACUGGGAUUUUAAUGGGAAUUCCUCUGAAUGAAAAGAUCAAUUUGAGGAGAGCUGACAUGGCAUUACAUGCAUUAUCUCCAUUUUUAAAAGGGGCUCUUUAAUGUUUUUUUGUUCAAGUUGACAGAUUUUCUUCCUAGAAGUUUUAUACAAGUUCUUUCGUUGUAACUAUUCCAAGGUAACUCCUCCCCCCCCCCCGCCACGGGCUAUUAUAAAUGGCUAUCGUUUAAAAGAACACCUUAAAAAAAUCCACAAACUCUUGUUGGUAUGUAGAAGGCAGUUGAACUUAUCAAUAAUCUUGAUUCACUCUACUAUUAAUUUUGGUAAUUUGCCUAAAUUUCUUUUUUUAAUAUUCCAUCUGUGAAUAGUGACAGCUUUGCUUCCUCUCUUGCUCCCCUCGUUCCUCAUUCUUCUCCCCCCUUUUCUGUCUUUCACUGGCUGGCACCUCCCGUAAAAUGGGGAAUAGAAAUUAAGACAGGAGGGUAUGUUUGCCCUUUAAUGAAGUGCUCACCUACUUCUCAUUGACCUAAAGUUUUUUGUUUUCUUUCCUUUUAAUUUUUUUUUUUUGGUUAUUAAUGGAUACUGAAUUUUAUUCUCUGAUCAGCUUAAUCAUAAGGUAUUAUGCUUAUUACACACUGCUGGACUCAACUUGCUAAUAGGUAUUUCAAAUUUUUGCAUGAGUGAGAUUGGCCAUUACUUUUUCUUUUUCAUAAUUGUCCCGGUUUGGUGUAGAUCAUUUAAUUUGCGGAUAUUAUCAGCUUCAUGAAAUUACUUGGACAUAUUGUCUGUUUUCAUGUUCUCUGGUAGAAUCUAUAAGAUAUUAGAGUUAAUCUGUUUAUCGAACAUUUGGUACGGCUCACCAGUGAAACUGUCCAGCCUCAUGUGUUCUCUGUGAAAAGAUUUUAAAUAUCAGUGAUUGAAUCUAUUUCCUGGAUUGACUUAGUUCUUGAAUUCGUUUUGGUACUUUAUAUUCUUCCAGGAAUUUGUCCAUUUUCAAAAUUUAAAAAUUCAUUACCCAAAAGGUUGUAUCAUCUCUUAUCUUUUUAAUCUCUGAUGCAUCUCAUGUUUCAUUCCCAGCACUACCUUUGUGUGAAUGACUUUGCUUUUAUCUUGAUCAGACUUGCCCCAAGUUUGCCAGUGUGUCUUUUAAAAAAACUCACUUUUGGGGCGCCUGGGUGGCGCAGUCGGUUAAGCGUCCGACUUCAGCCAGGUCACGAUCUCGCGGUCCGGGAGUUCGAGCCCCGCGUCAGGCUCUGGGCUGAUGGCUCGGAGCCUGGAGCCUGUUUCCGAUUCUGUGUCUCCCUCUCUCUCUGCCCCUCCCCCGUUCAUGCUCUGUCUCUCUCUGUCCCAAAAAUAAAUAAACGUUGAAAAAAAAAAUUAAAAAAAAACAAACUCACUUUUGUCUUUGCUGAUAUUUUCUUCUGUGUCUUUGUUUUCCACUUCAUUAGUUCUGCUCUCAUCAUUAUUUCCUGUUUUCUUUGGGUUUGUCCCAUUACCUUUUUCUAAGUUCUUGAAGUGGAUACUUAAUUUUCAGUCUUUCUUCUUUCUAAAUGAAAUCAUUAAAGGCUCUAAAUGUCCCCAUCCAUUUACUAACCCCCUUUUUAAUGAAGAGAGACCAACCAGAAUUUAGAAAGAUUCCUUUUGUUUUGUAUUCAUCUUAUUUAUCUUUAGAGUUGCCCUCUAUUUGUGGCACGUAGGACUGGGUUUCCAUGUAUGUUGUGAAUAGAGAGUUUCCUUUCAUAAUACAUUUAUGUAAGCACAGAGUAACUUUAAAAAUUCUUAAGUAAGUGACAAAUAGAUGGUACCCAAUUAGGCCACAGAUCCUCAAAUAUGAAAAAAAAACAUAAGGGUGACUCAUCAGUGACUACAGUUCGGGCAACUGGUGUUUCCAGGUAACACGCUGUCUUCUCUCAUCAAUAUGCGUAUACAAUUGUUAUAUCAUCGGGGGGUAAUUUCUUUCUAAAUUUUUUAAAAAAAAUUUAAAAUUUAAGUGUAGUUGACAUACAAUGUUACAUUAGUUUUGGGUGUAGAGCAUAGCGAUUCAACAAGUUUAUACAUUCUGCUCUGUCCACCAAAAAGUAGCUCCCCCCGUCAUCAUACAAUACUAUUACAGUAUCAUUGACCAUAUUGCCUAUGUUAUGCCUUUUCAUAGGGGGUAAGUUCUGAACAAUUGGAGAAAAAAGACAAGUCCUGGGGAGAUGCACACGUACCAAUGUUCCAGUGUCCAAAAAGGAACAAUAGUUGUUAGAAUUCUAACUUGUAGGCUAGAUGUUAAUUAUAGAAGUCAUAUUAAAAUUUAUUGCAUUGAAAGAGAAUUAAGGGGCUGUUAGACAAGGGCACGGUUAUCCCUGGGACCCAGCAUGGGUUCAUCAAGAACACGUCAGGUCGAUGUCCCCUUUGACAACAUUUUUAGACUGGCAGCACCGUGGAGGGGUCAGCAGAAAGACUGUACCUUGGCCUUGGUGAUACACUAGGCAAAGCUGUUGUAUCUUGCUAAUAUUGAUAGCUUGAUGUGCUCGAUGAUGGGACUUUCAUUAGGGCUCAGAGUUGUGUAGUAAAAACUAUUCAGAGAUCGUUUUUGUUUUGUUUUUUUUUUGUCAUCAACGUAUCAUUGUCCCUCUGGAGGAACGUUCUAAUAAUUUGCCACAGGGUUCUCCUACGUUGUAUUUGCAAUUUUGCAAAACAUGCCAGGUGAUAUAAAGCUAAUUAAAAUUGCAAAUCUCAGAAUAUGUUUUUCAAAAGAUAUUGACAAACUGGAUUAGAGCUGGAAACUCCUUCAGUGAGGCUAAUAAGCAUGAACUUGCAGUGUUACACUUAAGUCAAUACUUCUGUUUUUCUCUAACGCUCCCACAGAGGCAGAACACGAUGAGCACAUAAAACGUGAGGCUGAAGGCCUCUAUUUGAGUAUAAGUGAUUCCAGAUUUCCCUUGGAAUUUCAUAUUUUAUCAUAAACAUUUAUAUAAAACCUGUGUCUGUUCUACAAUACAUUUAUAUUUUAUGUUUAUAUUUAACAUGAUAUUUUAAUUGACAAAAUCUUUUUUUUAUUUUUUUUAUUAAAAAAAAUUUUUUUAACGUUUAUUUAUUUUUGAGACAGAGAGAGAGACAGAGACAGAGAAUGAACAGGGGAUGAGCAGAGAGAGAGGGAGACACAGAAACGGAAGCAGGCUCCAGGCUCUGAGCCAUCAGCCCAGAGCCCAACGCCGGGCUCGAACUCACGGACCGCGAGAUCACGAGAUCGCGAGAUCGCGAGAUCGCGAGAUCGUGACCUGAGCUGAAGUCGGACGCUUAACCGACUGAGCCACCCAGGUGCCCCGACAAAACAGUUUUUAGUCAGAAGACAUAUCUGGAUUAAUUCCUAUGCUCAGAAUUGUUAUAAGUUAAAUCAUAGAACGAAUCGUAGAAUUUCACAGGUGUUAAUAAGUUACAACACUUACUCCAGCUCCUUGUUUUACAGGUAAAGAAACUGAUUCUAAUCUUCCACUUUAUUACACAUAACUUCUCUUAGACUGAACAUUUCAAAUUGAAGAGUCUAAUUUCUGAAAUCCAUUGUCAUACAAAAGGGUUUCAUCUUCUUGUUAUGUAAUUUCCUUUUUUUUUUCUUUUUUGGAGAGAGAGAGAAAGAGGAAGAGAGAGAGAGAGAGAAUGCACAGGGAUGAGGGGCAGAGAGAGAGAGGGAGAGAAUCCCAAGCAGGUUCCAUGCUCAGUGUGGAGUCCGAUGCAGGGCUCAGUCUCACGACCCUGAGAUCACGACCUGAGCCGAAAUUAAGAGUUGGACACUCAACCGACUGAGUCACCCAGGCGCCCUAUAAAUUCUUAAUUUAAUUUUAAUUCUUUAAUUAAAAAUUUAAAUGCAAAAUUUCUCUAAUUCUUGACACACGACAUUCAAAUUUCAUUAUACACGUUUUUAUAUGAAAGCGUCAUUAAGAUUUGGUUUGGUUUGUUUCAAUUAAUCUCACUCAUGAUGCCUGGUAAUAUUUUUAUUAUAACAAGUUAUUGGGGAAGUGUUUUCGGGAAAUAGUUUACAGUGAGUUUUGAGUUCUUUGGUUUUCAUGAAGUCAAGAAUCUAUAGUAUUAUAAGCAUAGCUUAGAUUACUCUCUCUAAAUGACUUUUGUCCACAAUGAAAUAUUGUCGGCUAACAAAAAGUAGAAUAGGAGUCCAGGAGCUGUUUUUCCAGUUUCUGGUUUAUCAGUUCCUGGUUGAGUGAGCUUGAACACAGUUACUUACCUUUCUGCAUUCAAGUUUCAUUAACAUAUUAAACAUCUUAGCAAUUCUACCUCUCUUCUGUCUGCUCCAAAGAACUGUUGAAGUGUGGUACUGUCUAAAAUUAUCAAUCAUUUAUACUCAAGAGAGUUGUAUGAACGGGUAGAAAAUUCAGUCUCAUGUGUCCCUCUGGCUUAUCACCGUUGUCAAAGUUAGUCAUUUUUUUUUUUCUAGUUUGUUUCCUUAAGACGUUAGACUGCUGGCAGGUACUAGUGGUUAUUGAGACUAUACUAGAAAGAAAGGCUUUCUGAAAGACACAUUUUCUUUUCUCUUUCUGAUGUAGAUGUUUUACUUUCAAACGUGAGUUGUGUUAUAUGUAAAGUCGCAGCUUUGGAUUUAAUGGUACUGUGCCCGGCAAAAGGUACAUUAUGUGAAGCACAUAUUUCACUUGAAAGAAGCCAGAGAAAUAGAGAAAUGAGAAGAAAUGCAUAGGGAGUGAGAACAGGAAACUAAAUUAAGUAGGUUUUUUUUCUUAAAUUUACCGAGGCCGCCAUGUGCGUCUGUUGGUUGUGAGGGAGGGAUAAAUGCCAUGCUGUUUGGCAGGGCCACAGAGCAACCAGCAGUUUAUAAUUAGAAAGUCGCUGGAAAUAAGAACCGUGGCUGUCUUCCAUGAGGAAUUACAUUUUUAGUGCAUUUACUCCGCGUACUUUUCCUUACUCCUUCCUUUAACCUUCCUUGAUUUUUCUCUCAGGGUCCAAAAGUGACGUGGAAAAGCAGGUAUCAUCACCAGAGCAAGAAGAAAGGCUCUCGCCCGUGAGCAUUUCACAUCUGCUGAGAUGAGGGGGAGGAACACCGAGCCCCAAAGCUUCUGUGACAUUUUUCCUCACCACCUUCGUGAAGAAAAUACAGAAGAUUCUCAGAUGAAAGUAGCUCAUUUGUGCUGUGGGGAAUAGCCAAAAACCAUUGCCCAACCAGUACUGUUUUACCUGAAGAACUUCUGUGGGUUGCUCGAUCAGGCGCAUAACCCAACGAAGCAACCACUUUCAGCUUUCAGUCUGGAGAGCUACACGUGAGGGAACACCACAAAACGCAGCCAUGCUUCCGGGCGUCAGAUGAUGAAUGGACACUGAGGGGAACACGGGCUUUUUACCGGCCAGGCAGAGCUGAGCUUGGAGUACACAUUCAAAGGAAACACAAACGAAAGACUUAGAAGACAGAAAAAGAGUUUCAUGAUUUUCACCGACACAUAUUCCGGA